AACACUGUAAGAUAAGCGUUCAUAAUUAAUCUGUUUUAUUUCGAAAUAAUAAUUAAAAGUUAUCAAUAAAUCCUUAUUUUAUAUCCUUUCCAUUGAUCAAAAAAUUAUUGAUAUCAUUUGUGUUUUAAGAAAAUAUAAGCCGUUAGAAAAACAUAAUUAUUAACCAAAAACAUGGACGCUCGGCGUCUGCCCAUCCGAUCUUUUCUUAUCAGUUCUAUAAAUAGAAUAUACAACGGAUUUGUGCACAAACACUAUCUCCCCUAUUAAAUCUUAAUUAAUAAAUAAAUCAACAUUUUCCAUGAACACUUUUUAAACUGUGUAUUUGGUGAUGUUGAUGCAGUCCAUUUUUAACUUAGCCUAUUCUAUUUUAAUCAAGGAUUUUCCAAAAACGGCACUGUGGCAGAGAAACUUCCCAAAAUGCAAGAUAACAUUUCCCAAAAUCACACCAACAAAUGGUUUAAUUUUGUUUACAUUUUAGUUUUACUGGGGAAGCGGUUGUCGGGUAUUGAUUUUUUGUCUUACUAUAGCGCAAAGUACUGCGUGUUGCGCAUUACGAGUCUAAUUCGUUAUGUUCCAUGUCCCGGAUUUUAGAUUUUAGUCCGUGCUUCAGGGGAGAUAAAUUUAAUUCAUCUUUCUCUGUUUACUUCCGGUUGAUUAUUGUCCCAACAAAAUGUCAUAUGACGGGAAAUAUUACUGCAAAUCAAUCAAAUGCAUGGCAGUAUCAAAAGAAAUCAGAGGUCAUGGUUUGACUGUGGGUUUGAUUCCGAAAAUUCUUCAAAAAAUCACAGAGGACAAGGGGAGGGCAGUACUGAUAUGCCCCAUCUGGGAAACUCCGAGUUGGUAGCCCUGAAUCUCGGGCUUUUUCCUAUAUCCACAAAGCCCUCAAGCACAAAGACAUACCAAAAUCUGACAGAAACAUCAUCCUUUCUUCCUGGAGAGACUGCACUAAACGACAAUACAAUGGAUAUAUUACCAAAUGGAUUCAAUUCUGUGGCAGGACAAUUGACCAACUUCAACCCCACAUAAACCAAGUGUUAAAGUUUUUAAGUAAAUCGUUUGAUAAUGGCAUGGAAUAUUGGACAUUGGGUGUCACUUGAUCAGACUUGAGUAUUUUUCUUGAAACAUGUUGGAACAUGACAUUAAUACAUUAUGAAGAACUUACUAGAUUUAUGAAAGGUCUUUCUUAAGCGACCAGCUUUUCCUAGAUAUCAAACUACCUGGGAUGUAAAUACAGUACUUACAUAUUUGAAGAUAUCACAACAUGUUACAUUGCUUCAAUUGACAUGUAAAUUAUGUAUUUUAGUUUUAUUGUUAACAGCCCAGAGAGGACAGAAUUUGCAUUUAUUAGCUAUGAAUGAUGUUACAGUGUAUUCUGACAAUAAGACUGCCAUUGUACCAAAUCAUUUACUGAACACCAGGGCAUCAUGCAGAAUUGAUCACACUUCAAGCAUUUAGAGAAAAUAAAAACCUGUGUAUUGUUCACAUACUGAAAGAAUAUUAAGAUCGCACAAAAUGUCUGAGAACGGGAGACAAGGUACUGAUAAGUACAGUAAAACCUCAUAAACCAGUGUCGCAGGUAUAGAUUGUUCAUUUGCACCACACAGUAUGCGGGCAACUGCCACGUCAAAAGCAAAAUUACAUGGUGUCCCUCUUGAAACUAUUAUUAGAACAGCAGGGUGGACAAAUGCAAGGACAUUUGCUAAAUAUUAUGAUAAACCUAUUGUUGGCAACUUGUCCUUUCAGGAGGGAAUAUUAAACUUUUGAAUAUUUAGAAGUAGAUAUAGGUAUGUAUACGAAUCGUGACAGAUUUACUUUCUAUACCUGUAAGGUGAAGUUUAGUUGUAAUUUCGUCGACCACAAACUCCCCUAGGGAUCACAUACCAACCCAGCCUUCCUUUACUGAUCCUUCUCAGAGAACGAUCCAAUAGGAACAAGUCAUACACCGAUUCUCUAAAACAUGAUGAGCCUUGGUCGAUGCUGCGUCAUCUCUCUUAUAAUGUGACCCCUUGGGGAGUUUGUGGUCGACGAAAUUACAACUUCACCUUAGGCCAAAAAAAAAAAGUAUGUAUGUUUCCUGUGACAUGCCAGAAAAAAAUAGGGUAGGUAGGUCGAUUUAUUUAUUUAUUUAUUUUUUUUUUUUUUUAGGAUAGAGCAGAAUACGCAUCUUCACAGUAGUAGAAUUCCCUUAUCUUUGCUUUUGCCUACUGUCUUAUCAAUACAUGUAUGUCUGUACUAGAUGGUUAUUAAAUACAUGCCGUCAGAAUAUUUCGACAGAUGCACCUUUGGUUUUCUGUUAGUUCAAGCCUAGCUUAGAAUCAUAAUUUUUUAAGGCAGGGGUGUAAAUAUUUUUUUCACACCACUCGCCCUGCAGGACUUAUAGCCACUAAAAUCUACUCACCCUUAGUGAACAGUCACUUGCCCUUAUAAUUGACAUGUUUAAUAUUGUCACUUUUAUGAAAGGAGUAUUACACAUGUACAAUAAGUAAAUUUCAAAUGUAACACACAGUAGACAAAUACUUUUCUCUUGUACACUACAUUUCCUUUUUAAGGAGGCAUAUUUGUUCUUCUUAAAUUUCCUUUUUACAGCAGACAUUUUUAUUUUUCUUUCCUCUAUUUUUGUCAGCAGCACCAGCCAGUUGCUCUCCAAAAUAACUGCAGCGAUAGUAAUAUUAAUUAAAGUCUAUCCCCUACAGUAUUUCCUAAAGUGUUACGACAGCAAAAAAUAUUUAGUUAUUUUCAUUUUCUCAAGACUUAUUUCCCGAAAAAUAAUUAUUUUGAAAAGUGUCCCAAAAAUAUGGACACAAUAAUCAUCAUCCACACACCUGUUGUGAAAGCGGAAAAAAAACCAAACAAUUAUCGGAAAUUAUUCUGUUUAUUAUGAAGCAAAUAUUUGUCAAUUUUCUUAUACAAUGCAUUUUUUAUAAAAUUUCAAAUAAUAUUUAUAUUUAUAGAAUGCUGACAUGUUUAGUAUCAAACUGUUUGUCUUUUAAAGUUAGAGUUGAUUUAAUAAUUAGUUUUUGUAAAUUCUUAUGUUUAUUUCAGUCAUUGGAAAUUUUCAUUUUCAUUUACUACAGGGAAUUACUUAAGUGUCAGAUUAUGUUAAGCUGACUCACAAAGUCUCAAAAAGAUUGUUAAGCCAGGAAGCCAAACUGUCAACUUGUAAAAAUGCUGUUAUUUGUUUUGCCUGUUCUUCUGUUUAAUCAUUAAGCCUGCCAAAUAUUGUGUUGUAAUAACUUAGUAAUUACUUAAGCCAUAUGUGUAAAAAUGUCACAUGUCAUUCACAUAACCAAUGAGAAUCCUUCACAUAUUUUAGCAUAAUGUUUUCUGAAUUUUAAAUAGAUAUGCUGGCACUUUACUUUUAGAUGUCAAAGUAGAAGGUGUUCCUUCAUAAAGAUUAACUUUACUAUUUUUAUUUGUGGUGUUCCACAUGGACUUUAGCGUUUAAAUUUGUGUUAGGUGUUCCAACACAUUUCUGGUGAACCAGAUAAAUUUCUGUUGUGUUAAAAUAUUAGAACUUUAUUAAAUUAAAAUAGAUAAACUACA